rnacentral:rRNA from 1 species
GGUAGAUGGGCGCAGCCUGAUCAGCCAUGCCGCGUGAGUGAUGAAGGCCCUAGGGUUGUAAAGCUCUUUCAGCGAGGAGGAUAAUGACGUUACUCGCAGAAGAAGCCCCGGCUAACUUCGUGCCAGCAGCCGCGGUAAUACGAAGGGGGCUAGCGUUGUUCGGAAUCACUGGGCGUAAAGCGCACGUAGGCGGACUGAUCAGUCAGGGGUGAAAUCCCGGGGCUCAACCCCGGAACUGCCUUUGAUACUGUCAGUCUUGAGUCCGAGAGAGGUGAGUGGAACUCCGAGUGUAGAGGUGAAAUUCGUAGAUAUUCGGAAGAACACCAGUGGCGAAGGCGGCUCACUGGCUCGGUACUGACGCUGAGGUGCGAAAGCGUGGGGAGCAAACAGGAUUAGAUACCCGGUAGUCA